rnacentral:tRNA from 1 species
ACAUCAGUAGCUCAAUUGGUAGAGCAGUGGAUUCCAAAUCCACCGGUUGGGGGUUCGAGUCCUCCCUGAUGUG